rnacentral:rRNA from 1 species
AACGAACGCUGGCGGCAUGCCUAACACAUGCAAGUCGAACGAUUGCCCUCGGGUGAUUUUGUCUCACGGGUGCGUAACGCGUGGCGGUUUGCCCUUAGGUUCGGAUUAACAUCUUGGUACGGCUUCUCGUACCGGAUGUUAUCCCGAGAUCACAGAUUUAUCACCUGAGGAUGCACCCGCGUUGCAUUAGUUAGUUGGUUGGGUAAACGGCUACCAAGCCGACGAUCCGUAGCUGGUCUGAGAGGAUGAUCAGCCACACUGUGACUGAGACACGGUCGAGACUCUUAGGGGAGGCAGCAGUGGGGAAUAUUGGAAAACCGGCGCAAGGCUGAACGAGCAAGGCCGGGUGAGUGAUGAAGGCGGUAGGGUAGUAAAGCUCGUUUACCCGGGAAGAUAAUGACGGUACCGGGAGAAUAAGCCCCGGCUAACUCCGUG